rnacentral:rRNA from 1 species
UGGGGAAUCUUGCGCAAUGGGCGAAAGCCUGACGCAGCGACGCCGCGUGGGGGAAGAAGGCCUUCGGGUUGUAAACCUCUUUCGACAGGGACGAAGCCACUCGGGUGAAUAGCCCAGAGGGUGACGGUACCUGCAGAAGAAGCCCCGGCUAACUACGUGCCAGCAGCCGCGGUAAUACGUAGGGGGCAAGCGUUGUCCGGAUUUAUUGGGCGUAAAGAGCGUGUAGGCGGCCAGACAGGUCCGUUGUGAAAACUGGAGGCUUAACCUCCAGACGUCGAUGGAAACCGUCUGGCUAGAGUCCGGAAGAGGAGAGUGGAAUUCCUGGUGUAGCGGUGAAAUGCGCAGAUAUCAGGAAGAACACCCGUGGCUAAGGCGGCUCUCUAGUACGGUACUGACGCUGAGACGCGAAAGCGUGGGGAGCAAACAGG